rnacentral:rRNA from 1 species
GAUGAACGCUGGCGGUGUGCCUAAUACAUGCAAGUCGAGCGAACAGACGAGGAGCUUACUCCUCUGACGUUAGCGGCGGACGGGUGAGUAACACGUGGAUAACCUACCUAUAAGACUGGGAUAACUUCGGGAAACCGGAGCUAAUACCGGAUAACAUGUUGAACCGCAUGGUUCAACAGUGAAAGACGGUCUUGCUGUCACUUAUAGAUGGAUCCGCGUCGCAUUAGCUAGUUGGUAAGGUAACGGCUUACCAAGGCAACGAUGCGUAGCCGACCUGAGAGGGUGAUCGGCCACACUGGAACUGAGACACGGUCCAGACUCCUACGGGAGGCAGCAGUAGGGAAUCUUCCGCAAUGGGCGAAAGCCUGACGGAGCAACGCCGCGUGAGUGAAGAAGGUCUUCGGAUCGUAAAACUCUGUUAUUAGGGAAGAACAAAUGUGUAAGUAAAUAUGCACGUCUUGACGGUACCUAAUCAGAAAGCAACGGCUAACUACGUG